CUGGGGCUGGAUUGCGCAGGCGCUGGGCGGGCUGCUCGCCGUGCGCGUGCGCCCGCCGGAAACGUCCGGACGCCGUCAGUGGGCGCCUGUGUGCGCGCGGGAAGAUGGCCGAGCAGGUGACCAAGUCUGUGCUGUUCGUGUGUCUGGGUAACAUUUGUCGAUCACCCAUCGCGGAAGCGGUUUUCAGGAAACUUGUAACUGAUCAAAACGUUUCAGAUAAGUGGAGGAUAGACAGUGCGGCGACGUCCACAUAUGAAAUAGGAAACCCUCCUGAUCACCGGGGGCAGGCUUGCUUGAAGAAGCACGGGGUCCCAAUGAACCACGUGGCCCGGCAGGUACCGCACUGGAACUUGAAGGUGCACUUGUGUGUUUUGUGUUGCAGUGGGUCAUUGACAGCGGCGCUGUUUCUGACUGGAACGUGGGCCGGUCACCAGAUGCAAGAGCUGUGAGCUGCCUAAGAAAUCAUGGCAUUAACACAGCCCAUAAAGCAAGACAGGUUACCAGAGAAGACUUUGUCACCUUUGAUUAUAUACUCUGUAUGGAUGAGAGCAACCUGAGGGCAACGACUCUGACUUCGAGACCGUCUACCAGCAGUGUCUGAGGUGCUGCAGGGCCUUCCUGGAGAAGGUUCACUGACCGGUUCUGCUCCUGCGGGUCCCAGGCUCGUCCCCCGCCUGCAGUCCCAGCUACAUGUCACCGUGUAACCGUGCCGCUGGCUCAAGGCCACAGCCCUUCUUCCUUCAGUUGACUUUCUUACCUUAAAAAAUAAUUGUAGAUGAAAAUCAGUUGUUGUGUUUGGUGGAAAAAUAAAUAAAAAUUUCUGAUUCAGACAGUUCAUUGGGUAAGUGUUGGACUAGCUGGACCUCCGCUCACCCUAGUUGUAGAAAUACUAGGGCAGAUGGAACAGUGGAAAACAAACCACAGUGAAGUCCAGCGUUGCUUUAAGGCCCCGGUCAGCAUCAGAGCCAGAGGGCCUUGAGGUCACCCGCACUCCUUCUCCCUGUGUGGACGGAAGCCAGGGCCUGGCGUGGGAGGAGCACAGCCACGGCGAGGCGCUCGUUCACAUGCCUGAGCACUCACCCGCACCCUCGGGUCAGGAGAGGAACCCUGGUGGGAGCGACCUCGCAGCGCUCCUCCUUCGUAGCUUGUGUCUAGUUAAGCCCGUGAGGAGAUUCAGCUUGUUCCCGUUUGAACCACGUUGCCUCUGGGAAUUCGACUGUAUCGGGAAGAAGGACACUUGUGUGCUGGUUUAGCUUAUGGUCAGUUUGAGAAAUACGUCUGCUUUUAUAUGCAGGUGGGAAAAACAGUAAGUUAGGAAAGGUUCUUUUACGUUGGAAUGCUUGAAUAUGGAGAUGUUAAGAGUUUUUUUUAUCAGUGCUUAGUUUAUAGGCAAAUACAGGUAAUUUCCAUGCACUUCUGUGAAAUAACUAAAAUCCUCAUGGAUGAUGUCAGAGAAGAUUGUUUUCAGAGUAAACUGGGGAAAUCAUAAAAGCGCAGCUAAGAUA